GAUGAACGCUGGCGGCGCGCCUAACACAUGCAAGUCGAACGAUUAAAGCACCUUCGGGUGUGUAUAAAGUGGCGAACGGCUGAGUAACACGUGGGCAACCUGCCCCUUUCAUUGGGAUAGCCACGGGAAACCGUGGAUAAUACCGAAUACUUCGAGACUUCCGCAUGGAAGACUCGAGAAAGCUCCGGCGGAGAGGGAUGGGCCCGCGGCCUUUUAGCUUGUUUGUGGGGUAACGGCAUACCAAGGCAAUGAUGGGUAGCUGGGUUGAGAGACCGAACAGCCAGAUUGGGACUGAGACACGGCCCAGACUCCUACGGGAGGCAGAAGUGGGGAAUCUUGCACAAUGGGCGAAAGCCUGAUGCAGCGACGCCGCGUGCGGGAUGAAGGCCUUCGGGUUGUAAACCGCUUUCAGCAGGGACGAGGCGAAAGUGACGGUACCUGCAGAAGAAGCCCCGGCUAACUACGUG
rnacentral:rRNA from 1 species